GAUGAACGCUGGCGGCGUGCCUAAUACAUGCAAGUCGAGCGAACAGACGAGGAGCUUGCUCCUCUGACGUUAGCGGCGGACGGGUGAGUAACACGUGGAUAACCUACCUAUAAGACUGGGAUAACUUCGGGAAACCGGAACUAAUACCGGAUAAUAUAUUGAACCGCAUGGUUCAAUAGUGAAAGACGGUUUUGCUGUCACUUAUAGAUGGAUCCGCGCCGCAUUAGCUAGUUGGUAAGGUAACGGCUUACCAAGGCAACGAUGCGUAGCCGACCUGAGAGGGUGAUCGGCCACACUGGAACUUAGACACGGUCCAGACUCCUACGGGAGGCAGCAGUAGGGAAUCUUCCGCAAUGGGCGAAAGCUUGACGGAGCAACGCCGCGUGAGUGAUGAAGGUCUUCGGAUCGUAAAACUCUGUUAUUAGGGAAGAACAAAUGUGUAAGUAACUAUGCACGUCUUGACGGUACCUAAUCAGAAAGCCACGGCUAACUACGUG
rnacentral:rRNA from 1 species